rnacentral:rRNA from 1 species
AAGCAUAUCAAUAAGCGGAGGAAAAGAAACCAACAGGGAUUGCCCCAGUAACGGCGAGUGAAGCGGCAACAGCUCAAAUUUGAAAUCUGGCCCCUAGGGUCCGAGUUGUAAUUUGUAGAGGAUGCUUUUGGUGAGGUGCCGCCCGAGUUCCCUGGAACGGGACGCCGCAGAGGGUGAGAGCCCCGUCUGGCUGGCCACCGAGCCUCUGUAAAGCUCCUUCGACGAGUCGAGUAGUUUGGGAAUGCUGCUCAAAAUGGGAGGUAUAUGUCUUCUAAAGCUAAAUAUUGGCCAGAGACCGAUAGCGCACAAGUAGAGUGAUCGAAAGAUGAAAAGCACCUUGAAAAGAGGGUUAAACAGUACGUGAAAUUGUUGAAAGGGAAGCGCUUGUGACCAGACUUGGGCGCGGCGGAUCAUCCGGGGUUCUCCCCGGUGCACUUCGCCGUGUUCAGGCCAGCAUCAGUUCGGCGCGGGGGAAAAAGGCUUCGGGAACGUGGCUCCUCCGGGAGUGUUAUAGCCCGUUGCAUAAUACCCUGCGCUGGACUGAGGACCGCGCAUCUGCAAGGAUGCUGGCGUAAUGGUCACCAGCGAC